CCCUUAGAUGUUCUGGGCCGCACGCGCGCUACACUGAUGAAUUCAACGAGCUCCUAACCUAGGCCGAAGGGUCCGGGUAAUCUUUGAAAUUUCAUCGUGAUGGGGAUAGAUUAUUGCAAUUAUUAAUCUUCAACGAGGAAUUCCUAGUAAGCGCGAGUCAUCAGCUCGCGUUGAUUACGUCCCUGCCCUUUGUACACACCGCCCGUCGCUCCUACCGAUUGAAUGGUCCGGUGAAAUGUUCGGACCGCGACAAGGCGGACGGUUCGCUGUCAGCUUUGCUGCGGGAAGUUCAUUAAACCUUAUCAUUUAGAGGAGGGAGAAGUCGUAACA
rnacentral:rRNA from 1 species